rnacentral:rRNA from 1 species
GACGAACGCUGGCGGCGUGCUUAACACAUGCAAGUCGAACGGAAAGGCCCUGCUUUUGUGGGGUGCUCGAGUGGCGAACGGGUGAGUAACACGUGAGUAACCUGCCCUUGACUUUGGGAUAACUUCAGGAAACUGGGGCUAAUACCGGAUAGGAGCUCCUGCUGCAUGGUGGGGGUUGGAAAGUUUCGGCGGUUGGGGAUGGACUCGCGGCUUAUCAGCUUGUUGGUGGGGUAGUGGCUUACCAAGGCUUUGACGGGUAGCCGGCCUGAGAGGGUGACCGGCCACAUUGGGAAUGAGAGACGGCCCAGACGCAGACGGGAGGCAGCAGUGGGGAAUAGGGCACAAGGGGCGGAAGCCUGAUGCAGCAACGCCGCGUGCGGGAUGACGGCCUUCGGGGUGUAAACCGAUUUCGCCUGUGACGAAGCGUGAGUGACGGGAAGGGGUAAAGAAGCACCGGCUAACUACGUG